GUUUAGAUUAGGUUGGAAGUCACCUGGGCUGAGCUGAUGGCUGAUUCCGUCAGCAAAAAGAACUGUGGAACAUACUGGCACUUGGGCCGGUGUGAAGCCACCCCCCUGCCAUGAAAAAUGGCUCUUCCCUGCCACAGCCGGCCCAGCGGGAGCCAGGUCAGGGCCUGGAGACACAGCGCCCCCCACCGGAGCCACUGCCCGGCCCAGCAGCACCUGCGGAGAAUCCCACCAGCUCCCACGCCUCCCGCCGCGCCACCGCCCCGGCUUUCUGCAAAUCCACCUUAUGGAAGCCGGAUAAGCACCUCCUCCUCUGAUGCGUCACAGUCACAGGUCCUGGUGAGGAGGGAGCCACGCCAAGCACAGCGGCUGGAACAGGGGCAAGUGGGUGCCCACCCCGAAGUGCAGGCAAUGAACUUGUGCUGUAGCCCAUGGUGAGCUGUGGGGCUGUUUGUGACUGCAGCGUAGCCAAGCCCAUCCCGCCUGAUGCGGCCUCUUCAUCCAGAGUGGGGGUGACGUGCCAGCCCCCACCUCACCGGAAUGCUGGGAGGAGCGUCUCCACGGAAGGAGCUCACUUUGUCAGCUGUAAUGUGCUGUGACUAUCGUAAAGUUCCUUCCGGGUGCAGAGUGAUACAUGAACCCUGGGGACUCACUCCAACUUGGUAUUGAUUUUCUCCACGGAGGACCCAGCAGUCACGGCCCGUGUCUGCACAGCCCCUUGGAUCCUGCGGAGGAAUUCAGCCGGCCCCUCCCCCUGUGCCGAAAACCACGGAGGCAAAGCCAGGCCAGGGUACAGUGAGAACACGGGAGAGGACUGAGAGACCGCUGGCUGCCGAGGGAGGAAGAGCAGGAUUCGCACCCCCGUCAUCGCUGGGCCCACACGCCGCCGACAGCUUCCGCGUGUGGCCAUCUGUCUUUCAGAAACCCUCUGGCAGAGGGACCCAGCAGAUGACACGGGGGCCGUUCACACUCUGAAACCUGCCUGGAGUCAAAACACUGCUGGCGAGCCUCCACCGCAAACCCAAUCCAGAUGGUCUUCCCUGGUGGCCCUCGGGGUGGCGGGCACCCUGCCCACUCCCUGCCAGCCCCUGCCCGCUGGACUCCAGGCCCGGCCGAGCCCCCGACCGGUCUCCUGACCCAGCAUGCUGCUCUCCCCUGGGCCCGGCUUUCUCGCCCGCUGGGACUCCCAGGCCCCUCCAGCCCAGCCCCGAGAGCAGGAGCCCCAAGGGAGGCUUGGCGGCUGUGGAGGCGAGUGGGCCACGUGUAGCUGGGAGGCCGGCAGGACCAGGAGCCCCUCACAGCGCAGCACCCACAGCAUCACGAGCCACUUCCACUCCUGGGUGGCCUGGGGGCCCCCACCCUGCUCUGAGCUGCCCCUUGUUGUGACCUGGGGUCCCCCGUGGUGGGCCCGCCCCUUGAGCCUGGGAUCCAGCCUCAGCGAGGCUCCAGAAGUGUCGUCUCCGCCGGCCAGGCGUCAGCGCCUCCACCCAGGAUCACACACUCCUAUCUCUGCACUUCUGCCCUCCAUCCUGCUCCACGCCGCCUCUGCUUGUUAUUCCAGCACAUUCCAGGGUGAUGCCUGCUGAAGCCACGCAGCCAGUGCCUCCACCCUACCCCCCAUCUGACCCACCGGCCCCUUCCGCACGCUGGAAGCCUGCCCGGCCUGAAGUGUCCUCACCUGUCGCCCUAUCCUCCCCUCCACUCCAGCCCACCGGUGACUCAGCCCUCACAGCUCUCUCCUCCCCGAGGGAGCCGGUGACUUGGCUCUGAUGGUGCCGGGACCCAGCCCCGGCAUGUUCAGAAUCCUUGUCCUUUAACCUGCGUCCACAUGUAGUCGCCUCCACCUCCCUGCCUGAACCUCCAGGCCCUGCAGAGCAAACACUGCUGCCUGCAGGAGACCCCUGGGGCCUUCUCCGUCCCCUCAUCCUCCUAAGGAGCCUCCCCUGCCACCGUGCCAGAAUGUGCCGGAGGAACAGAGGCCCGAGCCUCCCGUGGCCCCAGCGAGGCUUCCUCUGGGGAAGACAGUGAGCCCAACGCCCUGGCUCUCGAGGGGUGGACGGAGUCCAGCUGGCAUCGACCGGGUGCCCCUCUUCACCGGUGUCCACAGUCCUUGAGAGCAAAGGGUUCCCAGAGGCGACCUCCCUCCUGCACAGGCAUUUGUCAUCCUUACCCUCUAGGACAGCUUUGCCAUGUGCAGUGAACCCCUGGACAGUGUUGCGUGCCACUUUGCCGGAUUUGGACUGUAUACAGACCGAAGCAUGUGGCAUGAAGCCUUCUGCUGUCAGCAAGUUCCUUGUCCCUCGACAGUAUGUGCCCAGGCUGCCCUUCAAGGUGGCAGUGAUGGCAGUUGUCUCUUGCACGCUGCGUACAGUUCUGUCACUGACUCUUACACACAGCCCUGGAGACGGGAGAGUGCCGGGAGCAUUCUAUGCAAGUGUCCUGGCCUUUGCGGGCGUCUCCACAGCACAAACACGAGUCAGGGACCACCCCUCUUCUGCUUCCAUGAUUCCACCAACUGGGUGGGGCAGAGCAGUGCCAGGGCCGGAGGCACGCCCCAGGUGAGGGCAGGUGGCCAUGCCAGUGAGUGCACUGCGUUCUCAGUUAAUUCAUCCGAAAUAUUUCUAAGUUUCUUGAUUAUUGCAGUUGCAUCCCCAAGAUAAUGCCGCCCUCACCAAGUAGAAGGCACAUGUGCUCUGAUGGCCCCUCCCACACUGGGGUCAGGGCACAGCAACUUAGCGAGGCGACGUGGGGGCUCAGAGGACCUCGGACCAGGCUCGGCACAUGGGGCUUCUCCAGCCAGCCAGGGGGAAGCACCCUGCAGACUGCUAACUUUUGCAAAAUAGAGUAAAAAAGAUCAGCUAGAAAAAUAAAACAAAAAAGGAAAGAUAUACAAAAUACAAGGCC
rnacentral:lncRNA from 1 species